rnacentral:rRNA from 1 species
UGCGACCUCAGGUCAA